rnacentral:rRNA from 1 species
CCUACGGGUGGCAGCAGUGGGGAAUAUUGGACAAUGGGCGAAAGCCUGAUCCAGCCAUGCCGCGUGUGUGAAGAAGGCCUUCGGGUUGUAAAGCACUUUCAGUGGGGAAGAAAGCCUUGGGGCUAAUACCCUCGAGGAAGGACAUCACCCACAGAAGAAGCACCGGCUAACUCCGUGCCAGCAGCCGUGGUAAUACGGAGGGUGCGAGCGUUAAUCGGAAUUACUGGGCGUAAAGCGCGCGUAGGCGGUCUGAUAAGCCGGUUGUGAAAGCCCCGGGCUCAACCUGGGAACGGCAUCCGGAACUGUCAGGCUAGAGUGCAGGAGAGGAAGGUAGAAUUCCCGGUGUAGCGGUGAAAUGCGUAGAGAUCGGGAGGAAUACCAGUGGCGAAGGCGGCCUUCUGGACUGACACUGACGCUGAGGUGCGAAAGCGUGGGUAGCAAACAGGAUUAGAUACCCCAGUAGUC